rnacentral:tRNA from 1 species
AUUAUCUUGGCAGAUUAGUGUAAUAAAUUUAGAAUUUAUAAAAGUAUAUUUAAAUUAUAUAGGUAAUA